rnacentral:rRNA from 1 species
AGUGAACGCUGGCGGUAGGCCUAACACAUGCAAGUCGAACGGCAGCACAGUAAGAGCUUGCUCUUACGGGUGGCGAGUGGCGGACGGGUGAGGAAUACAUCGGAAUCUACUUUUUCGUGGGGGAUAACGUAGGGAAACUUACGCUAAUACCGCAUACGACCUACGGGUGAAAGCAGGGGAUCUUCGGACCUUGCGCGAUUGAAUGAGCCGAUGUCGGAUUAGCUAGUUGGCGGGGUAAAGGCCCACCAAGGCGACGAUCCGCAGCUGGUCUGAGGGGAUGAUCAGCCACACUGGAACUGAGACACGGUCCAGACUCCUACGGGAGGCAGCAGUGGGGAAUAUUGGCCAAUGUGCGCAAGCCUGAUCCAGCAAUACCGCGUGGGUGAAGAAGGCCUUCGGGUUGUAAAGCCCUUUUGUUGAGAAAGAAAAGCAGCAGGUUAAUACCCCGCUGUUCUGACGGUACCCAAAGAAUAAGCACCGGCUAACUUCGUG